rnacentral:rRNA from 1 species
GAUGAACGCUGGCGGCGUGCCUAAUACAUGCAAGUCGAGCGAACAGACGAGGAGCUUGCUCCUCUGACGUUAGCGGCGGACGGGUGAGUAACACGUGGAUAACCUACCUAUAAGACGGGGAUAACUUCGGGAAACCGGAGCUAAUACCGGAUAUUAUUUUGAACCGCAGGGUUCAAUAGGGAAAGACGGUUUUGCGGUCCCAUAUAGAUGGAUCCGCGCCGCAUUAGCUAGUUGGUAAGGUAACGGCUUACCAAGGCGACGAUGCGUAGCCGACCUGAGAGGGUGAUCGGCCACACUGGAACUGAGACACGGUCCAGACUCCUACGGGAGGCAGCAGUAGGGAAUCUUCCGCAAUGGGCGAAAGCCUGACGGAGCAACGCCGCGUGAGUGAUGAAGGUCUUCGGAUCGUAAAACUCUGUUAUUAGGGAAGAACAAAUGUGUAAGUAACUAUGCACGUCUUGACGGUACCUAAUCAGAAAGCCACGGCUAACUACGUG